rnacentral:rRNA from 1 species
UACGUAGGUCCCGAGCGUUGUCCGGAUUUAUUGGGCGUAAAGCGAGCGCAGGUGGUUUAUUAAGUCUGGUGUAAAAGGCAGUGGCUCAACCAUUGUAUGCAUUAGAAACUGGUAGACUUGAGUGCAGGAGAGGAGAGUGGAAUUCCAUGUGUAGCGGUGAAAUGCGUAGAUAUAUGGAGGAACACCGGUGGCGAAAGCGGCUCUCUGGCCUGUAACUGACACUGAAGCUCGAAAGCGUGGGGAGCAAACAGG